UCCAGGGUUAAUGAGGGAUUUAGGGGGCAUCGUCAGUAGGUUCCAGGGUUAACGGGGAAUUUUGGGGCGCCGUCAGUAGGUUCCAGGGUUAACGGGGCAUUUUGGGGUGCCGUCAGUAGGUUCCAGGGUUAACGGGGAAUUUUGGGGCGCCGUCAGUAGGUUCCAGUAGGUUAACGGGGAUUUUUGGGGCGCUGUCAUUAGGUUCCAGGGUUAACGGGGAAUUUCGGGGCGCCAUCAGAAGGUUCCAGGUUUAAUGGGGAAUUUCGGGGUGCCGUCAGUAGGUUCCAGGGUUAACGGGGAAUUUUGGGGUGCCGUCAGUAAGUUCCAGGGUUAACGGGAUAUUUGGGGGCAUCAUCAGUAAGUUCCCGGGUUAACGGAGGGUGUUGGGGGUAUCUUUUGGGGCAUAAUCAGUAGGUUUUAGGGUUGACGGGCGAUUUGGGCGUAUUGGGGUUGUCAUCAGUAGGUUCCAGGGUUAACAGGGCAGGUUUUGGGGUGUCGUCGGUAGGUUCCAGGGUUAAUGAGGGAUUUAGGGGGCAUCGUCA